UACGUAGGGGGCAAGCGUUGUCCGGAAUUAUUGGGCGUAAAGAGCGCGUAGGCGGUCCGAUAAGUCGGCUGUGAAAGUCAAGGGCUCAACCCUUGAAAGCCGGCCGAUACUGUCGGACUAGAGUCCGGAAGAGGCGAGUGGAAUUCCCGGUGUAGCGGUGAAAUGCGCAGAUAUCAGGAAGAACACCCGUGGCUAAGGCGGCUCUCUAGUACGGUACUGACGCUGAGACGCGAAAGCGUGGGUAGCAAACAGG
rnacentral:rRNA from 1 species